CCUAAAUAAAAUUUUGAUUAAAAAAAAAACCCCACUAACAAAUGUUUGUAUAUUUUUUUGCUGUCUUUAGAGCAUCCUGGCUUUAAAUCCUCGAACACAAACUAAUGCAGCACUGCACUCCACCUCAGCCAAGAAACUGGGCAAGAAACAUUGGAAAAGAAACCCUGAUAAGAACUGUGUUAAUUGUGAGAAGCUGGAGAAGAAUUUUGAUGACAUCAAGCAUACGACUCUUGGUGAGCGAGGAGCCCUCCGAGAAGCAGUGAGAUGCUUGAAGUGUGCAGAUGCCCCCUGUCAGAAGAGCUGUCCAACAAACCUAGAUGUUAAGUCAUUCAUCACAAGUAUUGCAAACAAGAACUAUUAUGGAGCUGCUAAGAUGAUUUUUUCUGACAACCCUCUUGGUCUUACUUGUGGAAUGGUCUGUCCAACCUCUGAUCUUUGUGUAGGAGGAUGCAAUUUGUAUGCCACUGAAGAGGGACCAAUUAAUAUUGGUGGACUGCAACAGUUUGCUACUGAGGUGUUCAAAGCAAUGAAUAUCCCACAGAUCAGAAAUCCUUCUCUGCCUCCACCAGAAAAAAUGCCUGAAGCUUAUUCUGCAAAAAUUGCUCUUUUUGGUGCUGGGCCUGCCAGUAUAAGUUGUGCUUCCUUCUUGGCUCGCUUGGGCUACUCUAACAUCACUAUAUUUGAAAAACAAGAAUACGUUGGUGGUUUAAGUACUUCUGAAAUCCCUCAGUUCCGGCUGCCAUACGAUGUGGUGAAUUUUGAGAUUGAGCUUAUGAAGGACCUUGGUGUAAAGAUAAGUUGUGGGAAAAGCCUUUCAGCAGAUGACAUGACUCUUAGCACUUUGAAAGAAAAUGGUUACAAAGCUGCUUUCAUUGGAAUAGGUUUGCCAGAACCCAAUAAAGAUUGUAUCUUCCAAGGACUGACUCCGGACCAGGGGUUUUACACAUCCAAAGACUUUUUGCCACUUGUAGCCAAAGGAAGUAAACCAGGAAUGUGCGCCUGUCACUCUCCAUUGCCAUCGAUACGGGGAGCCGCGAUUGUGCUGGGAGCAGGCGACACCGCCUUUGACUGUGCGACAUCAGCUCUGCGCUGUGGAGCCCGCCGCGUGUUCAUCGUCUUCAGAAAAGGCUUUGUUAAUAUAAGAGCCGUCCCCGAGGAGAUGGAGCUUGCAAAGGAAGAAAAGUGUGAAUUUCUGCCUUUCCUGUCCCCACGGAAGGUCAUAGUGAAAGAUGGGAGAAUUGUCGCAAUGCAAUUCGUGCGGACAGAGCAGGACGAGGCAGGAAACUGGAGUGAAGAUGAGGAUCAGAUAGUCCGCCUGAAGGCUGAUGUGGUCAUCAGUGCCUUUGGUUCAGUUCUGAGUGACCCAAAAGUAAAAGAAGCCUUGAGUCCUAUAAAAUUUAACAGGUGGAACCUCCCAGAAGUAGAUCCAGAAACUAUGCAAACCAGUGAGCCAUGGGUGUUUGCAGGCGGUGAUGUUGUUGGUCUGGCUAACACCACAGUGGAGUCCGUGAAUGAUGGGAAGCAAGCAUCUUGGUACAUUCACAAAUAUAUACAGUCACAAUAUGGAGUGUCAGUUUCUGCCACACCUGAGCUGCCCCUCUUCUACACCCCCAUUGACCUGGUGGACAUUAGUGUGGAAAUGGCUGGAUUGAAGUUUACAAACCCUUUUGGUCUUGCUAGCGCCACUCCCGCUACCAGUGCAGCCAUGAUCCGAAGAGCGUUUGAAGCUGGAUGGGGUUUUGCUCUGACCAAAACUUUCUCUCUUGAUAAGGACAUCGUGACAAAUGUUUCACCCAGAAUUGUCCGGGGAACCACCUCUGGCCCCAUGUACGGCCCUGGCCAGAGCUCCUUCCUCAAUAUUGAGCUCAUCAGUGAAAAAACAGCUGCAUAUUGGUGUCAAAGUGUCACAGAGCUAAAGGCUGACUUUCCAGACAACAUUUUGAUCGCCAGCAUCAUGUGUAGUUACAAUAAAAAUGACUGGAUGGAACUCUCCAAAAAGGCUGAGGCUUCUGGAGCAGAUGCCCUGGAGUUGAAUUUGUCAUGUCCACACGGCAUGGGAGAAAGAGGAAUGGGCCUGGCUUGUGGGCAGGAUCCAGAGCUGGUGAGAAGCAUCUGCCGCUGGGUCAGACGAGCUGUUCGGAUUCCUUUCUUUGCCAAGCUGACCCCAAAUGUCACUGAUAUCGUAAGCAUCGCGAGAGCAGCCAAGGAAGGUGGUGCAGAUGGUAUUACAGCCACCAACACUGUCUCAGGUCUGAUGGGAUUGAAAGCCGAUGGCACUCCCUGGCCAGCAGUGGGUACUGGAAGGCGGACCACAUACGGUGGUGUAUCAGGGACAGCAAUCAGACCUAUUGCUUUGAAAGCUGUGACUUCCAUUGCCCGAGCUUUGCCUGGAUUUCCUAUUUUGGCCACUGGUGGAAUUGACUCAGCUGAAAGUGGUCUUCAGUUUCUCCACAGCGGUGCUUCAGUUCUCCAGGUGUGCAGUGCUGUUCAGAAUCAGGACUUCACUGUGGUCGAAGACUAUUGCACUGGCCUCAGAGCUCUGCUUUACCUGAAAAACAUCGAGGAGCUCCAGGACUGGGAUGGGCAGAGUCCAGCCACUGUGAGUCACCAGAAAGGGAAACCGGUUCCACGCAUCCCUGAGCUCAUUGGCAAGGUACGUAGUGGCCUCUCUGGUGUUAUCGUGAGAACUCCACUGUGGUCAAUUUGUCCUUCACAGAUUGCUUGCCUUCCCACAUUCUCCCUCAAACAGGAAAUGUGGUACCUGUUGGAUAUGAUUUCUACAGUAGAAUCAUUCUGAAGCAGGCUUGAUUACAGCUCUAUGAUGGGUCUGCAAGUUACCUUUUUAUAAAACCAAUAUAACACGAGGUCAUAUAAAAGAACAAGACUGAAGUUUGUACUGUAAAGUACCUCCCAAUUCUUGCCAUCUGCACUGCUGCUUGGCAUUCUUGCUAGUGGGAAGCUGACUGGGAAUUUCUUUAUUCUUUAACAAGCCCUGGAAAUUAUAACAUUACCUUUCUAUUUUGAAGACAAUCAAAUCACUGGAGUCCUGAAUACCAUGAUGAAGUUUUUAAAAUUAAAAUCUCAUCAGUAUCUUUUGUAACUGCCUCUGCUGUGUGGUUAAACCUGGGCUCAAAAGGUUACAGCCCAACUUUCUUGCUAACUGCUAUUUUCUGAGAAAUAUACACUACAUUUACAUCUUGUAUAAUACAGUGAUUUUAGCAAUUCUUUUCUAAAACAACAUUCAGCAUUUUGCCUUUGUGUUUCCUUUGUAUUAUUCUAAACAGACAACCAUUGUCAGAAGACAUUUCUUGAGUCCCGACGAGGGGAGAAAAAAAAAUUAUAAUUCUUAGUCUUUUCAGCUUGUCACUACAUCAAUAAUUAACUUUAAAAAAGAGAGAGGCAGUAUAAAAAGAUUCUUUAAGGAAGCAUUUAAUAAUUCAAAUGAAUCUUAACUUGAAACAGGUCACAUGAAAAAGAAUGGAAAACAAAAACCAUGGGUCCUCUCCCUGGGCUGACAGUGAGGAACUCAGAAAGGCUAAGAGAAACAUCACAUCGCUGGCUAUUUUAGGGGAGAAUAUCACUGUCCCUCUCCUAACAGAUAGCAGAAAAUAAAGUAUUCUGGAAGAAUAAUGUGUGUGAUUGCAAGUCUCAUAAUGAAUAAGGAAAGAAGAAAAGAAAUAAAAUCUUACGAUGUGGGUUCCAGGAAAACAUCAUGAUAAGUGACUCUAUGACUGGCAAUCAAACAGAAAGGCUGUGACAUUAAUAUUUAUAAUAUUGUAAUUAGCAAGACAGUGUAACUAAUCAUAUUGUCACAAAUUGGGUCUGUCGUAUUCAGACAGUGACCGUUCUUGCCUUUAUCAAUGACUAUCGAUAGAUACACAUUCACAGAUGACAUUAUCCUGGUUUAAUGUAGAUACCUCAGGAAAAUUAUUUCUGACGUAAGAGUUUAGGGCCGUCUAUAAAAGUAUGGUCUCACAUUUGGGUUGUUGCCAUGUGAACAUGAGCGUAAGUAGCGGCACGGCGCUGUGAUGGUGUCUCUUUAAAGGACUUUCAUCCUCGUUUCAAAACCUAUGUGUUCAAAUAAACGGUGGAUAACGAUGGGAGCCCUUGUGCUGAUCACAGAAAUGGGAAUGGAGUUUCUAACAUUUGAAUCUGAAUUCAGACUCUGUUGGCCGGGCUAGAAUAAAUUACAGUAGAUCCAUAGAAGAAACCAAUUGCACCGCAAGGUUUGACAGUGGAGAGAAAAUGAGACUUUGGCUGUGGAGGAUGAACUUAGCCAAGUUGAUCAUGCUGUCUUUCAAGUAUUGGUAAAUUUAAUACAAUCUCCUCAUGCUUCUCUCCUAUUGAUUGUUUAGACUCUCUGAGCAGUUUCUUUCCAAUGCUUUCGAAGGGCAGGAAGCUAGGUGUUUAUAAUCUCAUGAUAUAAAUUAUUUAAAGUUGGAGCCUACAAGGGUGGAGGCAGCCCUGGGAGGAGCAGUCCUCAGCUUCUCCACACCACAGGGCUGCUGAUCCCAAGCCAGUUGUCUUAACCGAGACAAGCUGGAGAAAAAAUCAGAUCUCCAGGCCCCACCUAUCCAUCCAGAUUCAGUAGGUGGUGUGUCUAGGAACCUGCGUUUUCAUAUCAUGAAUGUGAAGGAGAGACACAAGGGUCUUCGUUGUCAUAAGAGAAGGAAAAGAGAGUCACAGGAAGAGUUAUCAAUGAGCAGGACAUGAACUCCUGAUGGAGAAAGCGAGCAGUGAAUGGUUUAGAGUUGGGAGAGAAAUGAAACCAGAAAAGAGACAAAAGAGGAAAUCCAAGAUUUAACUCUGGAUUCUGAAUGGCUGGAGGUGGGACAGGGCCAGUGAGGAGGCUCUGCAUAGGACAGGGGACACUCACAGAAUGAAGAGCGAGAUCGACCAUUAGGGAUAGGUGCUGCUUUGAUACUGACUAGCUAAACAAGUAACUUCAUCUCCCUAAGUCUAAUUCUAAAACUUUCAAAUGAAGAUGGUCACAGCACAGGCUCAAGAACCCUCAUUAACAAUUCUAUAAACUAAAAGUGCUGAAAUCAAAUGCUUCCACACAGCUCAUUUAGCAGAAACCUGGCCUGAACUGAUGUGGGGCAAGUUGUAAUCUUUAUUUAUUCCUCUUAGAGCACAUUUAAACACAAAGACUAAUAUGUUUGAUUCCAGGUUACCAUCCCACACCUGCUGGGGCUAGACAUGGGACUGGGCAGUAAAAAGGGAUAUGUGAACCAUUUUAUCUUUUAAAAUCCAAAAGACAAUUCCAAUCCUUUUCAUAUGGCUCCAGGGAUUUUAAAUAAGAGCUUGUGAAAAAAUAUCUAAAUGAAAAUAUAACUACCUUUAUCUAGAAAUUCUGCUUCAGAAUUGAAGGCAAACUAUUUAUUUUAGCAAUAGAAAAUAAAAUGUUACCAUAUGACAUUUUCAGGUGUGGGAAAUAAGAAUUAUGUUGAGAUUAUUUACUUGGGAAACAAGAAAGAAAUUGGAUGCUCUAAUGUUUGAACAGCAGACUUCACAAUCAGAAAAGCAUGGAAGCAGAUUUCUUCACUGUUCUGUGCUGGGCUGAGAGCAGGACUCCUAAGCCAGAUACUAAGAGCCCUGGCAGGGAAACAGCAGGCAGGGAUCUGCAUGUGUUUUCACAUGUUGUUCCCUCCCUCUGAAUAGCUUUCCAAUUCACCAAGGAGAAAUUCACAAGCAUGGCCUUCUUUGCAGGACAUCCUAUGACCUCAGCACCAGAAUUUGUUUUCUUUCUCUUCUAGAAUUUCAGUUGCAACACAGCAAAUGAAUAUCAAAUAGCAAUUGAAUUGUUACAUGUCUGUUUCCUCUGCUAGGCAGUAAGUCAGUUAUCUUAUCAUUUUUGC